rnacentral:rRNA from 1 species
AUUGAACGCUGGCGGCAGGCCUAACACAUGCAAGUCGAACGGUAACAGGAAGAAGCUUGCUUCUUUGCUGACGGGUGGCGGACGGGUGAGUAAUGUCUGGGAAACUGCCUGAUGGAGGGGGAUAACUACUGGAAACGGUAGCUAAUACCGCAUAACGUCGCAAGACCAAAGGGGGGGACCUUCGGGCCUUUUGCCAUCGGAUGUGCCCAGAUGGGAUUAGCUAGUAGGUGGGGUAACGGCUCACCUAGGCGACGAUCCCUAGCUGGUCUGAGAGGAUGACCAGCCACACUGGAACUGAGACACGGUCCAGACUCCUACGGGAGGCAGCAGUGGGGAAUAUUGCACAAUGGGCGCAAGCCUGAUGCAGCCAUGCCGCGUGUAUGAAGAAGGCCUUCGGGUUGUAAAGUACUUUCAGCGGGGAGGAAGGGAGUAAAGUUAAUACCUUUGCUCAUUGACGUUACCCGCAGAAGAAGCACCGGCUAACUCCGUG